CGGCGGACGGGUGAGUAACGCGUGGGUAACCUGCCUCAUACAGGGGGAUAACAGUUGGAAACGGCUGCUAAUACCGCAUAAGCGCACAGUACCGCAUGGUACGGUGUGAAAAACUCCGGUGGUAUGAGAUGGACCCGCGUCUGAUUAGGUAGUUGGUGGGGUAACGGUCUACCAAGCCGACGAUCAGUAGCCGACCUGAGAGGGUGACCGGCCACAUUGGGACUGAGACACGGCCCAA
rnacentral:rRNA from 1 species